rnacentral:tRNA from 1 species
AAAGCUUUAAGUUAUAAAAACUAUUAACCUUCAAAGUUAAAAAAACAUUAUCUAUAUGUAAGCUUUA